AGAACGAACGCUGGCGGCAGGCCUCAAACAUGCAAGUCUAGGGGGCGUAGCAAUACGUCACCGGCGGACGGGUGCGUAACACGUGGGAAUGUACUUACUGGUUCGGAACAACUCAGGGAAACUUGAGCUAAUACCGAAUGUGCCCGAAAGGGGAAAGAUUUAUCGCCAGUAAAUCAGCCCGCGUCCGAUUAGCUAGUUGGCGGGGUAAAGGCCCACCAAGGCGACGAUCGGUAGCUGUUCUGAGAGGAAGAUCAGCCACACUGGGACUGAGACACGGCCCAGACUCCUACGGGAGGCAGCAGUUGGGAAUCUUGGACAAUGGGGAAACCCUGAUCCAGCCAUGCCGCGUGAGUGAUGAAGGCCUUCGGGUUGUAAAACUCUUUCGACGGGGACGAUAAUGACGGUACCCGUAGAAGAAGCUCCGGCUAACUUCGCGCCAGCAGCCGC
rnacentral:rRNA from 1 species